UGGCACAGUAGUUAUGCACUUGGCUGCUAACCAAAAGGUUGGUGGUUCGAACCCACC
rnacentral:tRNA from 1 species